AUUGCUUCUCAGCUUUUUAGCUAAGAUCAAGUGUAGUACCUGUUCUUUUCGGUUUAAUAUCUGAUGCGUCCUCUAUCCAUGGACAAUAUCUUAAAUGUAUUUUUGUAACAGGGAGAUGAAAUAGCUUGCUCCAUGCACUCUGCACAUCAACCUAGUAUUCCAAGACUUCAAGGAAGGUGCACCCCUC